CAUAAUAUCUGGAAUGAUUUAUGGUUUAAAUCUAUAUGGCCUCUGGAUUGGACUGCGGCCGAUCAGGCUGUUGGUGAGGUAAUGGCCCACCAAACCUAAAACCGGUACGGGCUCUGAGAGGAGAAGCCCGGAGAUGGGCACUGAGACAAGGGCCCAGGCCCUAUGGGGCGCAGCAGGCGCGAAAACUCUGCAAUAAGCGAAAGCUUGACAGGGUUAUUCUGAGUGAUUUCCGCUAAGGAAAUCUUUUGGCACCUCUAAAAAUGGUGCAGAAUAAGGGGUGGGCAAGCCUGGUGUCAGCCGCCGCGGUAAUACCAGCACCCCGAGUGGUCGGGACGAUUAUUGGGCCUGAAGCAUCCGUAGCCGGUUCUACAAGUCUUCCGUUAAAUCCACCUGCUUAACAGAUGGGCUGCGGAGGAUACUAUGGAGCUAGGAGGCGGGAGAGGCAAGCGGUACUUAGUGGGUAGGGGUAAAAUCCGUUGAUCCAUUGAAGACCACCAGUGGCGAAGGCGGCUUGCCAGAACGCACUCGACGGUGAGGGAUGAAAGCUGGGGGAGCAAACCGGAUUAGAUACCCGGGUAGUCCCAGCUGUAAACGAUGCAGACUCGGUGAUGAAUAGGCUUCGUGCCUAUUCAGUGCCGCAGGGAAGCCGUUAAGUCUGCCGCCUGGGGAGUACGGUCGCAAGACUGAAACUUAA
rnacentral:rRNA from 1 species